rnacentral:rRNA from 1 species
UUGGAGGGCAAGUCUGGUGCCAGCAGCCGCGGUAAUCCCAGCUCCAAUAGCGUAUAUUAAAGUUGCUGCAGUUAAAAAGCUCGUAGUUGAAUUUCGGGACCAUCAUGUCGGUCGUGCCUCGGUACGUACUGGUAUUGUUGGUUUCUCCCUUCUGACGAACCAUGAUGUCAUUUAUUUGGUGUUGUGGGGAAUCAGGACUGUUACUUUGAAAAAAUUAGAGUGUUUAAAGCAGGCUCACGCUUGAAUACAUUAGCAUGGAAUAAUGAAAUAGGACGUUUGAUUCUAUUUUGUUGGUUUCUAGGAUCGACGUAAUGAUUAAUAGGGAUAGUUGGGGGCAUUAGUAUUCAAUUGUCAGAGGUGAAAUUCUUGGAUUUAUUGAAGACUAACUACUGCGAAAGCAUUUGCCAAGGAUGUUUUCAUUAAUCAAGAACGAAAGUUAGGGGAUCGAAGACGAUCAGAUACCGUCGUAGUCUUAACCAUAAACUAUGCCGACUAGGGAUCGGAUGAUGUUAAUUUUUUAAUGACUCAUUCGGCGCCUUACGGGAAAC